AGCCCUUCUGCCAAUGGGCAAAAAGACACCUUGGUGGUGGUGUUCUUUUAUCAGUCAAGGGCAGAGCAGAUGGCAAUCCUUUGUUCAUCCUAGCUUGAUUGCUGGCUUGGUGGCCAAAUCUGUCUCAUGCCUAGGACUCAUAA